rnacentral:rRNA from 1 species
UACGUAGGUGGCGAGCGUUGUCCGGAUUUACUGGGCGUAAAGAGCGCGCAGGCGGUCGUCCAAGUCGCGUGUGAAAGCCCCCGGCUCAACUGGGGAGGGUCACGCGAUACUGAUCGACUCGAAGGCAGGAGAGGGAAGCGGAAUUCCCGGUGUAGUGGUGAAAUGCGUAGAUAUCGGGAGGGACACCGGUGGCGAAGGCGGCCCCCUGGUUGGAUACUGACGCUGAGACGCGAAAGCGUGGGGAGCAAACAGG